rnacentral:rRNA from 1 species
UGGGGAAUAUUGCACAAUGGGCGGAAGCCUGAUGCAGCGACGCCGCGUGAGGGAUGACGGCCUUCGGGUUGUAAACCUCUUUCAGUAGGGACGAAGCGUAAGUGACGGUACCUGCAGAAGAAGCCCCGGCUAAUUACGUGCCAGCAGCCGCGGUAAUACGUAAGGGGCGAGCGUUGUCCGGAAUUAUUGGGCGUAAAGAGUGCGUAGGCGGCAAAUUAAGUCAGAUGUGAAAACUAAGGGCUCAACCCAUAGAUUGCAUCUGAAACUGAUAUGCUUGAGUCAAGGAGAGGAAAGUGGAAUUCCUAGUGUAGCGGUGGAAUGCGUAGAUAUUAGGAGGAAUACCGGUGGCGAAGGCGACUUUCUGGACUUGAACUGACGCUGAGGCACGAAAGCGUGGGGAGCAAACAGG